rnacentral:tRNA from 1 species
GGAGUUGUGGCUCAGUGGUAGAGUGCUUGCCUAGCAUGCAUGAGGCACUGGAUUAGAUCCUCAGCAUCA